rnacentral:lncRNA from 1 species
AGUAUGCUUGUCUUUGGAAUGAUUAAUCAGUUUGGCAAUCAUUUGCUAAAAUUGAUUUUCUAACCAGAACUACUAUUCAUUUACUUAGUUAGGAAUUUAGGAUAAACUAAACAAUUUAUUGAUCAACAAAAAAAUUAAUUAACAAUUAUUUUUUUUAACUCAUAAAAAUAAAACUUGUAGAAAGUUAUAGGAACACCAAUAUCCUCAAGAUCGGAACCAUUUUUGAAAUGUUUCAAGUAGAGGUAAGUUCCCGCAUACCGCAUUGAACCCAAGUUUUUUUACUCAAAAACAUGAACGAAUGUAUCGAAGAGAUUCUGAUGCUUUGCAUAUUUUGUUUUAGAAAUGAUAAAUCAUUCUUUGAAAUGUUAAUGAUUAAAAAAAAAUGUUAAUGAAAAAAAAAACAAGGUAGGAGUGCUUAUCGCAUUUGUGGGCAAUAAGACAGGACAGUAUGAUAGACCAGUCUAUAAUCCGCGAAAACCCUAAGCAAGCGUCUUUAAUACUAGUAAUCCGCGCACGAACGGAGCGAAAUAAUUUAUUAAACUAUUUAUUUUAC